rnacentral:hammerhead_ribozyme from 1 species
AUGCAGCUGAUGAGUUUGAAAUAGGACGAAACAUGCGUCCUGGAU